rnacentral:rRNA from 1 species
UACGUAGGGUGCAAGCGUUAAUCGGAAUUACUGGGCGUAAAGCGUGCGCAGGCGGUUUUGUAAGUCUGUCGUGAAAUCCCCGGGCUCAACCUGGGAAUUGCGAUGGAGACUGCAAGGCUAGAAUCUGGCAGAGGGGGGUAGAAUUCCACGUGUAGCAGUGAAAUGCGUAGAGAUGUGGAGGAACACCGAAUGGCGAAGGCAGCCCCCCUGGACGA